rnacentral:rRNA from 1 species
GACAGAGGGGGCAAGCGUUGCUCGGAAUCACUGGGCGUAAAGGGCGCGUAGGCGGGAUGGCAAGUCAGUCGUGAAAUCUCUCGGCUCAACCGAGAAACGUCGGCUGAUACUGCCGUUCUUGAGGGAUGCAGAGGAGACUGGAAUUCCGGGUGUAGCGGUGGAAUGCGUAGAGAUCCGGAAGAACACCGGUGGCGAAGGCGGUCUGCUGGGGUAAUGCUGACACUGACGCGUGAUGCGCGAAAGCCAGGGGAGGCGAACGGG